GAAGACCUGUCCUUAGUACGAGAGGACCGGGAUGGACGUACCUCUGGUGUACCAGUUGUCCUGCCAAGGGCAUGGCUGGGUAGCUAUGUACGGAAUGGAUAAGCGCUGAAAGCAUCUAAGCGCGAAGUCAACUUCAAGAUAAGAUUUCCCACCGCAAGGGUAAGACCCCAGAAAGACUAUCUGGUUGAUAGGUCGAAGGUGUAAGUGCAGCAAUGUAUUUAGCUUAUCGAUACUAAUAGGUCGAGGACUUGACCA
rnacentral:rRNA from 1 species